rnacentral:rRNA from 1 species
GGCUCAGGACGAACGCUGGCGGCGUGCUUAACACAUGCAAGUCGAACGAUGAACCGGUUUCGGCCGGGGAUUAGUGGCGAACGGGUGAGUAACACGUGGGCAAUCUGCCCUGCACUCUGGGACAAGCCCUGGAAACGGGGUCUAAUACCGGAUAUGACUACCGACCGCAUGGUCUGGUGGUGGAAAGCUCCGGCGGUGCAGGAUGAGCCCGCGGCCUAUCAGCUUGUUGGUGGGGUGAUGGCCUACCAAGGCGACGACGGGUAGCCGGCCUGAGAGGGCGACCGGCCACACUGGGACUGAGACACGGCCCAGACUCCUACGGGAGGCAGCAGUGGGGAAUAUUGCACAAUGGGCGGAAGCCUGAUGCAGCGACGCCGCGUGAGGGAUGACGGCCUUCGGGUUGUAAACCUCUUUCAGCAGGGAAGAAGCGCAAGUGACGGUACCUGCAGAAGAAGCGCCGGCUAACUACGUGCCAGCAGCCGCGGUAAUACGUAGGGCGCAAGCGUUGUCCGGAAUUAUUGGGCGUAAAGAGCUCGUAGGCGGCUUGUCGCGUCGGAUGUGAAAGCCCGGGGCUUAACCCCGGGUCUGCAUUCGAUACGGGCAGGCUAGAGUUCGGUAGGGGAGA